AGAAGGAAGGGGAGGAGAAGGAAGGGGAGGAGGAGGAAGAGGAGGACAAGGAGGAAGAGGAGGAGGAGAAGGAGAAGAAGAAGAAGAAGAAGAAGAAGAAGAAGAAGAAGAAGAAGAAGAAGAAGAAGAAGAAGAAGAAGAAGAAGAAGAAGAAGAAGAAGAAGAAGAAGAAGAAGAAGAAGAAGAAAUUAUUUUCUUACAGGUCUCAAGGUUGAGAAAUCAACUCUCAAGGACAUUUUUAUAUCCUCUUAUCAAGUGAGGGUUGUUUUCUCUUUCAUUGGUGAUAGUUAUAAAAUCUUCUGAAAGGGAAGAAUAUUGUUUCUUCACCUAAUAGAAGACAAAGAGGCAAGUGAGAAAUUGAUGAUGUAAAUAUUUAAAGAACAUGAUUCUUUUCUUUCCUCUUUUUUCUUUUUUAUUGGUUAUUUUAUUUAUUUACAUUUCAAAUGUUAUCCCCCUUCCGGUUUCCCCUCCUCAAAUGCCCUAUACAUUAAUUCUUUUCUUCUUGUCCAGCCCCCACCCCCAUCCCAUUAACAUCACAAUGGGCAUUAGCUUUAACAUCUGAAUUUUGGAGGGAAUACACAUUAGGAUGACAUGAGCUUUGAGAGUGGUAUGGCUUUUGUUUUUUGUUUUCUGUGCUUGUUUUCCUAAAUAAAUGCUUGCCAGCUUUUAGUAAUGGUUCCAAGUCAAGGAGAAAGAGUCAUCCAGCAGUUGUGUGCUACAUCUAGGCCAAAGUCAAGCUGGUAAGGAAAAAGCCUUCAGUUCACUUCUCUGGGUAGCAUGCCUUGAAUCAGAAAACUAUACAUUUGAAUUUCCUUAUUCAUUCCUCUCAGUAUGAUGCUUUCACUAUAUCUAAUCUGUUCUAGCUCCAAGACUGUGAAUCAUAAAAUUUCACCUAACCAAGCCAAUCUCCCCUAAACAAUAAAUUUUUUGUAAAAUUACAUUGAUAUCCAUAUUUGUAAUUAAUUUAUUUUUUACAAUCUAUAUUCCAUUACCCGUGUCCAUCCACCUUCUGACUACUCCACAUCCCACAACUCUUCCCCAACCCUGUCUCCACAUGGAUGCCCCAACCCCCACCCCACCUGACCUCUAAACUCUCUGGGGCCUCCAGUCUCUUGAAGAUUAGGUGCAUCAUCUAUGAAUGAACACAGACCUAGAAGUCCUCUAUUGUAUGUGUGUUGGUGGCCUUAUAUCAGCUGGUGUAUGCUGUCUGUUUGGUGGUUCAAUGUUUGAGAGAUCUCGGGGGCCCAGAUUAAUUGAGACUGCUGGUCCUUCUACAGUGUCACCCUUCUCCUCAGCUUCUUUCAGCCUUCCCUAAUUCAACAAUAGGGGUCAGCAGCUUCUGCCCAUUGGUUGGGUAUAAGUGUCUGCAUCUGUCUCAGUCAGCUGCUUGUUGGGCCUCUCUGAGGGUAGCCAUGCUAGACUUCUUUCUGUAAGCACAACAUAGUCUCAGCAAUAGUGUCAGGCCUUGGAGCCCCUCCUUGAGAUGUAUCCCAAGUUGGGUUGUCACUGGACCUCCUUUCCCUCACUCUCUUCUCCAUUUUUGUCCCUACAGUUGUUUUAGACAGGAACAAUUCUGGGUCAGAUUUUUGACUGUGGAAUGGCAACCCCAUCCCUCACUUGAUGCCCUGUCUUUCUGCUGCAGAUAGGCUUUUUAAGUUCCCUCCCCCUACUGUCAGGCAUUUCAUCUAAGGUUCCUCUCUUUGGGUCCUGAGAGUCUCUGGUGCAUUUUGGAGGAUUUCCACAACCUCCUAUUUCCUGAGGAGGCCAGGCUGCAUUCUUUCUGCUGGCCCUCAAGCCUUCAGUAAUUUUUCCUCACCCAAUACCACAGAAGGUUCCCCUCUCUGCCCACUUACUCUCCCUACUCCUCCCAUCCACUUUCCCUCCCAGGUCCCUAACUCCCUCCCCACUUAUGACUGCUCUCUUUUCUCUCCCAAGUAGGACUGAGGUGUCCUCACUUGGGCACUUCAGCUUGUUGAACUUUUUGAGUUCUGUUGACUGUAUCUUGUGUAUUCUCUACUUUUUCUUUUUCUUUUUCUUUUUCUUUUUCUUUUUUCUUUUCUUUUUUUGUGCUAAUAUCCACUUAUUAGUGAGUACAUACCAUGCACAUCUUUUUGGGUGUGAGUUACCUUAUUCAGAAUAUUUCCUAGAUCCAUACACUUGCCUACAAAACUCAGGAUGUCCUCAUUCAUUGUGUAAAUGAACCACAUUUUCUGUAUCCAUUCUUCCUUUGUAGGACAUCUAGGUUGUUUCCACCUUCUGGCUUUCACAAAUAAGGCCACUAUGAACAUAGUGGAACAGGUGCCCCUAUAGCAUGGUGGGGAAUCUUCUGGGUAUUUGCCCAGGAGUGGUAUAGCUGGGUCUUCAUGUAGUACUAUUUCCAAAUUUCUGAGGAACGUCCAGAAUGAUUCCCAGAGUGGUUGUACCAAUUUGCAAUCCCAGCAGCAAUGGAAGAGUGUUCCUCUUUUUCCAAAACUUCUCCAACAUGUGUUGUCACCUGAGGUUUUGAUCUUAGACAUUCUGAUUGGUGUAAGGUGGAAUUUGACGUUCAUUUUGAUUUCUAUUUCUCUAAUCACUAAGGAAUUUGAACAUAUCUUUAGGUGUUUCUUAGCCAUUCGAGAUCCUUCAGUUGUGAAUUCUCAGUUUAGUUCUAUACCCCAUUUUUUCAUUGGAUUGUUUGUUUUUUUGGUGAUUAACUUCUUGAGUUCAUUAUAUAUUUUGGAUAUUAGCCCUCUAUAGGAUGUGGGGUUAAUGAAGAUUUAUUUCCCAAUCUGUAGGUUGCAAAUUUGUCUUAUUGACUAUGUCUUUUGACUUACAGAAUAUUUCCAGUUUCAGGAGGUCCCAUUUAUCAAUUCUUAACCUUAGAGCAUGAGCCAUUGGAGUUCUGUUUAGGAAAUAGCCCCAUGUGCUAAUGAGUUUAAGGCUCUUUCCCACUUUCUUUUCUACUAGGUUGAGUGUAUCUGGUUUUAGGUUGAGGUCCUUCAUCCACUUGGUCUUGAGCUUUGUACAAGGUGACAAAUAUGGGUCUAUUUUCAUUCUUCUACAUACAGACAGCCAGUUAGACCAGCACCACUUAUUGAAGAUGUUUUCUUUUUUCCAUUGUAUAUUUUUGGCAUCUUUGUCAAAGAUCAAGUGACGGUAAGUGUGUGGUUUUAUUUCUGGGUCUUCAAUUCUAUUCCAUUGAUCAACAUGUCUGUAAGAAUACAGUGCAGUUUUUAUCACUAUUGAUCUGUAGUAAAGCUUGAGGUCAGGGAUGAUGAUUCCCCCAGCUGUCCUUUUAUUGUUAAGAAGUGUUUUCACUAUUUUGGUUUUUCUGACUUUCCAGAUGAAUUUGAGAAUUUCUCUUUCCAUGUCUUUGAAGAGUUGUGUUGGGAUUUUGAUGGGAAUUUCAUUGAAUCUAUAGAUGGUAGCAUGGCCAUUUUUACUAUGUUAAGUCAGCCAAUCCAUUAACAUGGGAGGUGUCUCCAUUUUGGGGGUGAUCUUAUUAGAUUUCUUGAGAGACUUGAAGUUGUUGUCCUAUACUUCUUUCAUUUCUUUGGCUAGAGUUACCCCAAGAUAUUUUAUAUUAUUUGUGGCUAUUGUGAAGGGAGUUUUUUUUUUUCACUAAUUUCUUUCUCAGCCCGUUUAUCCUUUGUAUAAAGAAGGAUACUGAUUUAUUUUAAUUAGUUUUAUAUCCAGCCACAUUGCUGAAGGUUUUUAUAAGCUGGAGAAGUUCUCUGGU
rnacentral:lncRNA from 1 species